GACAGAGGGUGCAAACGUUGUUCGGAAUUACUGGGCGUAAAGCGCGUGUAGGCGGCCGCGCAAGUCGGGCGUGAAAUCCCACGGCUCAACCGUGGAAGUGCACUCGAAACUGCGCAGCUUGAGUCCUGGAGAGGAAGGUGGAAUGCUUGGUGUAGAGGUGAAAUUCGUAGAUAUCAAGCGGAACACCGGUGGCGAAGGCGACCUUCUGGACAGUGACUGACGCUGAGACGCGAAAGCGUGGGGAGCAAACAGG
rnacentral:rRNA from 1 species